rnacentral:rRNA from 1 species
UACGUAGGGUCCGAGCGUUGUCCGGAAUUACUGGGCGUAAAGAGCUCGUAGGUGGUUUGUCGCGUUGUUCGUGAAAACUCACAGCUUAACUGUGGGCGUGCGGGCGAUACGGGCAGACUUGAGUACUGCAGGGGAGACUGGAAUUCCUGGUGUAGCGGUGGAAUGCGCAGAUAUCAGGAGGAACACCGGUGGCGAAGGCGGGUCUCUGGGCCGAUACUGACGCUGAGAAGCGAAAGCGUGGGGAGCGAACAGG